CACGUAGGGGGCAAGCGUUGUCCGGAAUCAUUGGGCGUAAAGAGCUCGUAGGCGGCUCAGUAAGUCGGGUGUGAAACCCUCAGGCUCCAACCUGGGGACGCCACCCGAUACUGCUGUGGCUAGAGUCCAGUAGGGGAGUGUGGAAUUCCCGGUGUAGCGGUGAAAUGCGCAGAUAUCGGGAGGAACACCAGCGGCGAAGGCGGCACUCUGGGCUGGUACUGACGCUGGAGGAGCGAAGGCCAGGGGAGCAAAGCGGG
rnacentral:rRNA from 1 species